rnacentral:rRNA from 1 species
UACGUAGGGGGCAAGCGUUGUCCGGAAUUAUUGGGCGUAGAGGGCUCGUAGGCGGUUUGUUGCGUCGGGAGUGAAAACUUACAGCUUAACUGUGAGCGUGCUUCCGAUACGGGCAGACUUGAGGUAUUCAGGGGAGAACGGAAUUCCUGGUGUAGCGGUGAAAUGCGCAGAUAUCAGGAGGAACACCGGUGGCGAAGGCGGUUCUCUGGGAAUAUCCUGACGCUGAGGAGCGAAAGUGUGGGGAGCGAACAGG